AGCUUUGCGCAGUGGCAGUAUCGUAAUCAAUGAGGUUUAUCUGAAGCGCGAUUAUUGCUAAUUAAAAUAUCCGUUGUUCAGUGGCUUUCAGGACAUUUAUUAUUAUCAGUCUGCAUAUAGU
rnacentral:snRNA from 1 species